UACGUAGGGGGCUAGCGUUGUCCGGAUUUAUUGGGCGUAAAGAGCGUGUAGGCGGCCAGGUAGGUCUGCUGUGAAAACUCGAGGCUCAACCUCGAGAUGUCGGCGGAAACCAUCUGGCUAGAGUCCGGAAGAGGAGAGUGGAAUUCCUGGUGUAGCGGUGAAAUGCGCAGAUAUCAGGAAGAACACCUAUGGCGAAAGCAGCUCUCUGGGACGGUACUGACGCUGAGACGCGAAAGCGUGGGGAGCGAACAGGAU
rnacentral:rRNA from 1 species